GGAGGGCAAGUCUGGUGCCAGCAGCCGCGGUAACUCCAGCUUCAGAAGCGUAUAUUAAAAUUGUUGCAGUUAAAAAGCUCGUAGUUGGAUCUGGGUGACAUGGCUACAUGCUGUGGCUGACGCUGGACCUAACUUCGUUGGGACUGGCUGAUGCUUCGGUGGUGGUAGUUGUGCAGCCUUUCUGCCGUAUCUGUGAAAACGGGUGCUGGUUGGUCUAUGCGGCCGGUCGGCAUGCUUCUGAAUGCCUUUAAUUGGGUGUUCGGAGCGGACGGCAUGUUUACUUUGAACAAAUUUGAGUGCUCAGAGCAGGCCAUAGUGCCUGAAAAUUCUUGCAUGGAAUAAUGGAAUAGGACUUCGGUUCUAUUUUGUUGGUUUUCGGAUCCGAAGUAAUGGUCAAGAGGGACAGACGGGGGCAUUUUGUAUGG
rnacentral:rRNA from 1 species